GACGAACGCCGGCGGCGUGCUUAACACAUGCAAGUCGAACGGUAAGGCCCUUCGGGGUACACGAGUGGCGAACGGGUGAGUAACACGUGGGUGAUCUGCCCUGCACUUCGGGAUAAGCCUGGGAAACUGGGUCUAAUACCGGAUAGGACCACUGCCUGCAUGGGUGGUGGUGGAAAGCUUUUGCGGUGUGGGAUGGGCCGCGGCCUAUCAUCUUGUGGGUGGGGUGAUGGCCUAACAAGGAGACGACGGGUAGCCGGCCUGAGAGGGUAACCGGCCACACUGGGACUGAGAUACGGCCCAGACUCCUACGGGAUGCAGCAGUGGGGAAUAUUGCACAAUGGGAGCAAGCCUGAUGCAGCGACGCCGCGUGAGGGAUGACGGCCUUCGGGUUGUAACCCUCUUUCAGCACCGACGAAGCGCAAGUGACGUUAGGUGCAGAAGAAGGACCGGCCAACUACGUGCCAGCCGCCGCAGUAA
rnacentral:rRNA from 1 species